rnacentral:rRNA from 1 species
AGCGUAGACGGCGCAGCAAGUCUGAUGUGAAAGGCAGGGGCUUAACCCCUGGACUGCAUUGGAAACUGCUGUACUUGAGUGCCGGAGGGGUAAGCGGAAUUCCUAGUGUAGCGGUGAAAUGCGUAGAUAUUAGGAGGAACACCAGUGGCGAAGGCGGCUUACUGGACGGUAACUGACGUUGAGGCUCGAAAGCGUGGGGAGCAAACA